AUUGAACGCUGGCGGCAGGCUUAACACAUGCAAGUCGAGCGGAGAUGAGGUGCUUGCACCUUAUCUUAGCGGCGGACGGGUGAGUAAUGCUUAGGAAUCUGCCAUUUAGUGGGGGACAACAUUCCGAAAGGAAUGCUAAUACCGCAUACGUCCUACGGGAGAAAGCAGGGGAUAUUCGGACCUUGCGCUAAAUGAUGAGCAUAAGGCGGUUUAGCUAGUUGGUGGGGUAAAGGCCUACCAAGGCGGCGAUCGGUAGCGGGUCUGAGAGGAUGAUCCGCCACACUGGGACUGAGACACGGCCCAGACUCCUACGGGAGGCAGCAGUGGGGAAUAUUGGACAAUGGGCGAAAGCCUGAUCCAGCCAUGCCGCGUGUGUGAAGAAGGCCUUUUGGUUGUAAAGCACUUUAAGCGAGGAGGAGGCUACUAGUACUAAUACUACUGGAUAGUGGACGUUACUCGCAGAAUAAGCACCGGCUAACUCUGUGCCAGCAGCCGCGGUAACAC
rnacentral:rRNA from 1 species